AACGCUAGCUACAGGCUUAACACAUGCAAGUCGAGGGGAAACGACAUCGAAAGCUUGCUUUUGAUGGGCGUCGACCGGCGCACGGGUGAGUAACGCGUAUCCAACCUGCCCACCACUUGGGGAUAACCUUGCGAAAGUAAGACUAAUACCCAAUGAUAUCUCUAGAAGACAUCUGAAAGAGAUUAAAGAUUUAUCGGUGAUGGAUGGGGAUGCGUCUGAUUAGCUUAUUGGCGGGGUAACGGCCCACCAAGGCGACGAUCAGUAGGGGUUCUGAGAGGAAGGUCCCCCACAUUGGAACUGAGACACGGUCCAAACUCCUACGGGAGGCAGCAGUGAGGAAUAUUGGUCAAUGGGCGAGAGCCUGAACCAGCCAAGUAGCGUGCAGGAAGACGGCCCUAUGGGUUGUAAACUGCUUUUAUAAGGGAAUAAAGUGAGUCUCGUGAGACUUUUUGCAUGUACCUUAUGAAUAAGGACCGGCUAAUUCCGUGCCAGCAGCCGCGGUAAUACGGAAGGUCCGGGCGUUAUCCGGAUUUAUUGGGUUUAAAGGGAGCGUAGGCCGGAGAUUAAGCGUGUUGUGAAAUGUAGACGCUCAACGUCUGCACUGCAGCGCGAACUGGUUUCCUUGAGUGCGGUUGAGGUGUAUGGAAUUCGUGGUGUAGCGGUGAAAUGCUUAGAUAUCACGAAGAACUCCGAUUG
rnacentral:rRNA from 1 species